GGACGGUUGUGAUUGGUUUAAAAAUACAAACAAGGCAGAGCAUUUUUCCCCCCUAUCCCACAAUAGAUAGGUGGUGUAUCCAGACCAUACUGCAGCGCUGACACAGCGUUGUGGAGAUAGGUCUGGCAAUGCAAGACUACUAUACUGCAGC